rnacentral:lncRNA from 1 species
UAAAGAAAAUUAAUAUCUUGCUUCAAUCAUCAGCUUUCUUCUAACCCCAUAUUCAACCUGUUUAUAUGAAAUCAAAAUGUGAGGAGUGAGAUAGUCACGUUGUCUCAGUGGUCUCAUCUACCUAUGAGGUUAGUCAAACUAAUAAUCCUCAUUCAUACUACGGUUGAUCGACAUAUCAUAAUUAACUACAUUUCAUUAAAUAUGCUGUAACACAAAUAAUAAUCUUGUUCAUUUUACGAAGACCUUCUUGAGGUGAGUAGUCUCAGGAAAUUAAAGCCUGCAUAUUCAGCUUCCUCCAAGGAGCUCAGUUGCGGAAAAUAUAUACUCACAAUCAUUAUCAUGUGGAAGUCCAACCAGCAGCAAAUCUUCCUUGUCAAACUUACUUGUUAUAUAUAAUACUAAGAUUAACCUAACAAGUUCAUGAGUUCUACACACUAAAACAUAGUAUUAGCAGUGUGAAUCAAGUCAUGAUCAGAUUCUCGAUCAUAUUCAUGAUAGUUAAAAAAAAAACCAGUUUUCUAUCCUGCAGUGCAAUAUGAAUCGAUUCACAGAACCAGAGUGUGUCUGUGAAUAGAUUCAUGACAACAAAAUUUCAAUUAUCAGCACUCAAGGGUGUAUGAAUCGAUAAACAGAUCCGAAAACUCUCUUGAAUCGAUUGAGGCAGUAGAGAAACCAGUUUUUAUGCAUUUUUUAGUCUAAAACGAAAUCUAGCUCGUGUCACGUGUGGUUUAUGCGGUGAGGCUGUGGAGACAGAGCUGCAUCUAUUUUUAUACUGUGAGAUUGCAAUGUUAGUUUGGAUGGAAGUAUUCUCUUGGCUCCAAUCCCAGUCCAUCAUAGUCACAAAAUACUGUACAACUUCAAAACAUGAAUGUAACCUCCUAACCUAGUAAUGAGUAUGGGAAAUGUCUAACUCAUUACAAACUGAUUUAUCAUAAAAAAAAAAGAAAUGUUAGUUUCAGCUUGGCAUAUAACAAGUUAAUUCCUAGAAUCAUGUUGCAUGUUAAUUCUAACAUGAUAAUCAGUAAAUAAAACUACUCUAUAUGGCUACUAAUUUGAAGGAAUUGCUAUAGUUGGAACUCACUUGUUGAUUGUAGCUUCUUUCAAUUUCUUCAAUCCAAGCUUCAAUCAACCUCCAAAUGGUUAAUCCAUUACCCAUUAGAAAAUUCAUUGAAUCCACAUAAAUACUCACAUGCAUGAGUUAAUUUCAAGCUAAAUAUUGUUCUUGAUUCAAGGGCAGCGGGCGCUAGUGGGAGAGCAAAAAAGUAAUUGAAAUUCAGUUUUCUUACCUUGCUCCUUUAAAGCAUGAAG